rnacentral:rRNA from 1 species
AUUGAACGCUGGCGGCAGGCCUAACACAUGCAAGUCGAACGAGUGGCGGACGGGUGAGUAAUGUCUGGGAAACUGCCUGAUGGAGGGGGAUAAAUACUGGAAACGGUAGCUAAUACCGCAUACCAUCAGAUGGGCCCAGAUGUGAUUAGCUAGUUGGUGGGGUAACGGCUCACAAAGGCGACGAUCCGUAGCUGGUCUGAGAGGAUGACCAGCCACACUGGAACUGUGACACGGUCCAGACUCCUACGGUAGGCAGCAGUGGGGAAUAUUGCCCAAUGGGCGAAAGCCUGAUGCAGCAAUGCCGCGUGUAUGAAGAAGGCCUUCGGGUGGUAAAGUACUUUCAGCGGGGAGGCGUUACCCGCAGAAGAAGCACCGGCUAACUCCGUGCCAGCAGCCGCGGUAAUAC